rnacentral:rRNA from 1 species
UACGUAGGGUGCGAGCGUUUGUCCGGAAUUAUUGGGCGUAAAGAGCUCGUAGGCGGUCUGUCGCGUCGGUCGUGAAAACUUGGGGCUUAACCCUGAGCUUGCGGUCGAUACGGGCAUGGACUGGAGUUCGGCAGGGGAGACUGGAAUUCCUGGUGUAGCGGUGAAAUGCGCAGAUAUCAGGAGGAACACCGGUGGCGAAGGCGGGUCUCUGGGCCGAUACUGACGCUGAGGAGCGAAAGCGUGGGGAGCGAACAGG